CAACUGGCUCCCACUGUAAGGCAGAAAAGAUCUUGCUGCUUCCAUUAGGAAGCUUUCUCUUCCUGAGGAUGUCUCCUGAGUACUGGCAUUGAGCUGAAUCCUGGACACAGUUGUCUUGGUGAUGAGUAACUGAUCAGAGUCAGAAAUGCCAUCAGACCUUGAAGCCAAGGACAGGAAAUCUGGGCAGUGUGAUGUGCUUCUCUCCAGAAAACACAUCCAGAAUCUGAAAUGAAAAAUCUGUCAAGCAUGUGGUUGUACCACAGAGGAUGGCCUGCUGGGGAAUGGAGGAGCUGGCACACUGAGAGAGGCAUCAAUUUCUGAAGUCCUGAAGCCUAAUUUUUGCCAUAGGCUGCCCUCCCUUAAAAGGAACUUGAAAAGAAAA